rnacentral:misc_RNA from 1 species
GUCACCCCCGUGCCUCCUAUAUCUGCCAUCGUCUUUCCUUUCCGCACCGCAAUCACCGCCUUUUCAACAACCCAUUCUCCCACUCGCAACUCCGUUAUUACCUCCUCAAUGUGAUGCAUUCAUUAUCAGUGCCCUGGACAAAGACGCAUAAGUUAUAGACACUAAAUUUUUGCUUAAUCUUUCUUCCAAUAUCGAUAGAAUUAGGUUAAUAGUUCCACCAACGACGAUCCCAUUCAGGUUGGUGCAAUCGCUAGGGCUGGACACGGUCGAAGAGCUUGAGUUCUAGCUCAAAACAUACCAAAGAUUGGAUGAUAGAAAGUUGAGUAAUUGUAGCGGCGAAUUUUAGCUGAGAUGCUUUAAGAAUAUGACCACUAGAAGGCUUCAUUGGGAAGAAAAUGG